UGGCGGCAGGCCUAACACAUGCAAGUCGAGCGAGACCUUCGGGUCUAGCGGCGGACGGGUGAGUAACGCGUGGGAACGUGCCCUUCUCUACGGAAUAGUCCCGGGAAACUGGGUUUAAUACCGUAUACGCCCUUCGGGGGAAAGAUUUAUCGGAGAAGGAUCGGCCCGCGUUGGAUUAGGUAGUUGGUGGGGUAAUGGUCUACCAAGCCGACGAUCCAUAUCUGGUUUGAGAGGAUGAUCAGCCACACUGGGACUGAGACACGGCCCAGACUCCUACGGGAGGCAGCAGUGGGGAAUCUUACACAAUGGGGGAAACCCUGAUCUAGCCAUGCCGUGUGAGUGAUGAA
rnacentral:rRNA from 1 species